GACGAACGCUGGCGGCGUGCUUAACACAUGCAAGUCACGGGGGCCCGCAAGGGCAACCGGCGAACGGGUGCGUAACACGUGAGCAAGCUUCCGAUUAGUGGGGGAUAGCCGGCCCAACGGCCGGGUAAUACCGCAUACGUUCACUGGACGGCAUCGUCUGGUGAGGAAACCUCCGGGCGUCAUCGAGGCGCUCGCGGCCUAUCAGCUAGUUGGCGGGGUAACGGCACGCCAAGGCGACGACGGGUAGCUGGUCUGAGAGGAUGGCCAGCCACAUUGGGACUGCGACACGGCCCAGACUCCUACGGGAGGCAGCAGUGGGGAAUAUUGCGCAAUGGACGAAAGUCUGACGCAGCGACGCCGCGUGUGGGAUGAAGCUCUUCGGGGUGUAAACCACUGUUGCCCGGGACGAAACUCCUCUUUCGAGAGGACUGACGGUACCGGGUGAGGAAGCACCGGCUAACUCUGUGCCAGCAGCCGCCGUAAAAC
rnacentral:rRNA from 1 species